rnacentral:rRNA from 1 species
GACGUGCUAAUCUGCGAUAAGCGUCGGUGAGGUGAUAUGAACCGUUAUAACCGGCGAUUUCCGAAUGGGGAAACCCAGUGUGUUUCGACACACUAUCAUUAACUGAAUCCAUAGGUUAAUGAGGCGAACCGGGGGAACUGAAACAUCUAAGUACCCCGAGGAAAAGAAAUCAACCGAGAUUCCCCCAGUAGCGGCGAGCGAACGGGGAGGAGCCCAGAGCCUGAAUCAGUGUGUGUGUUAGUGGAAGCGUCUGGAAAGGCGUGCGAUACAGGGUGACAGCCCCGUACACAAAAAUGCACAUAUUGUGAGCUCGAUGAGUAGGGCGGGACACGUGGUAUCCUGUCUGAAUAUGGGGGGACCAUCCUCCAAGGCUAAAUACUCCUGACUGACCGAUAGUGAACCAGUACCGUGAGGGAAAGGCGAAAAGAACCCCGGCGAGGGGAGUGAAAAAGAACCUGAAACCGUGUACGUACAAGCAGUGGGAGCCUCUUAAUGGGGUG